rnacentral:rRNA from 1 species
CCAAAAACAUAGCCCUUAAAAAAAUUAAAGGUGAAACCUGCCCAAUGAUUUAAUAAUUUACACUUAAAAGAUAAAUAAAAAAUUAAAUGGCUGCAGUAACCAUGACUGUAAAAAUGUAGCAUAAUAAUUCGCCACUUAAUUAGUGGAUAGUAUGAAUGGUUAAACGAAAAUUCCACUGUCUUAUAAAAUACAAUAAAAAAUUUAAAUCAUAGUUAAGAUGCUAUGUAAAACUGUAAGACGAAAAGACCCUAUAAAGCUUAACUAUAAAUCUUAACAUUUUAAUAUUAAAACUAAUAAAAAUCAUUAAGAUUUGGUAGUUUCAUUGGGGCGAUGAUCUCUAAAAAUAAACAGAGAUAAACUAAUUUAAUAAUAAAAUUUACUGUAUAAUUAAUAAAUUUAACAGUUACAAAGUAGAGUAUAAUGACCCAUUAUUCUAAUUAAAAAAAAAAUAAUGAACAAUAAAUAAAAGCUACUUUAGGGAUAACAGGAUAAUAAUUUCUUAGAGACCCAAUCGAAGAAAAAGUUUAUCACCUCGAUGUUGAAUUAAGAUAACCUAAUGACGCAGCAGUAAUUAAAGGUAGGUC